AUGGUUUAGUGGUGGAGCUGGCAGUGCUGGGUUAAUGGGUGGACUUGAUCAUCUUGAAGAUCAUUUUCAACCUAAAUGACUCUGAUUCUGUGAUAAUGAGCCUAAUUAGUGUAUGAGUGAAUGUGAUCUGUGUCUUUGUUUAUUGUUGUGGGCAUGUUUGACAAGUAUCAAGCUGAGUAAACCCUAACCUGGUAUUAGCUAAAUUGCUGGGCAGUGUCUGUUGGCUGCAUGGCUGGGCAAGGGGAUUGGAAGUUGGAUCCUAGGCUAAUAUUAAGCCACACUUAUGCAGUGCCAAAACUCCGAGCAUCCUGACUGUCAGUGCAGCAAACCCUUCCUCUUUCUCUUCCAGAUACCUUAUACACACACCUUUUAUGUUGUAUUGCUGCCUGAUUUGUUCUGCUUUCAAGUCUCCCUUUCCUUUACUCCUAAAGUCUUUUUAAUUGCAUUUCUUCCCCUGCUUUGCUGGGCAGACUGAGGCUCUCAUACUCUUGCAUGAAACAUGGAGUCAUGGGAGCAGUCCCUCUCUCCACCCCAAACCAGUUUACUUCACUUUUGGCCCUUAUGCUACCAGAAAGUAGCCCUGUUUGGUUGUGAAUGUCAAGGCAGCUGUCUUCCUCUGCAUGUGCUGCUUUGGUUUUACUUUUACCAGCCCUCCUGUUGUCUUAAGAGUCUAAGUAAGAGUACUGGAACCAAGCGUGGCUGGGGUCUGAUCUAAGGGAGGAUUGAAGAUGGAUUUUCCAGACAGGAAUUUGCCUAGUAUAAUGUUUUGAAGAUGGAGUUUUUACCACCUCUACUGUUGAUCCCUGUUUUCUGCUCAUCUCUAGAGGAUCCCUUUUGGAUCACAGGUGACCUGAGAGCAGGCAAGAGAACAUAGGAUUAGUCUACGGCAUAUUCUCUGCAUUGUGCAUCUGGCAUUAACUCUCAGCCUGAGCAGGGACAUAAGUUGCUCUACUGCCAAAGCAGAGCAACCCCAAACCCCACUUCCACUUUCCAAGCAACCUUUUGAUAUGUAAAAUAGCCUAAAUAAGCCUCUCUGUUACAGUGGAAGAAAAGGGUUUAGGAUGUGCUUCAGUUGAUGCACAAAGUGUUGCUGUGGUGGUGAGAUUGCAUCAGUACUGCGAGCGUCUCAAAGGCAGCUGAAGGUCUGGAAGAAGCUGCUGCCAGGAUCUGAGCCAGAUUGUCACAUUCACUCACUGUCAUGUGUUGAUCCCCUUGGAGACUUGUUGCAGCUCUUGUGUAUUUGAUAAUGCCUCCUUUCCUUUGGAGGGGUGUCUGUCUUUAGAGGGAUGCUCUUUCAGUGAAAGUCCCAACAGGACUAAGCGAGAAACAACAGCAGCAGCAUGAACUUCCAUGGCAAAUGUCAUUCUGCAUUUCCUAAACUGAGGGGUUUUUUUUUCUUCCAGGCAUUCAUAUAGAGACUGCAUGUUGUAAAACUGGAUAAACACCAAAUUAAUAGUA